rnacentral:rRNA from 1 species
GCCUAACACAUGCAAGUCGAGCGGCAGCGCGAUAUGUAGCAAUACAUAUUGGCGGCGAGCGGCGGACGGGUGAGGAACACGUAGGAACCUACCCUCGAGUGGGGGAUAACCAAGGGAAACUUUGGCUAAUACCCAUGAUUUCGAGAGAGCAAAGCUGCCGCAAGGUGGCGCUCGAGGAGGGGCCGGCGUCCGAUUAGCUAGUUGGUGAGGUAAGAGCUCACCAAGGCGAUGAUCGGUAACUGGUCUGAGAGGACGACCAGGCACACGGGGACUGGGACACGGCCCAGGCUCCUACGGGAGGAAGCAGUGGGGAAUAUUGGACAAUGGGGGCAACCCUGAUCCAGCGAGGCCGCGUGAGGGAAGAAGGCCUUCGGGUCGUAAAGCUCUUUAGGUUGGGAAGAAGAGUGAUGGAGGAAAUGCUAUCACUUUGACGGUACCGACAGAAUAAGCACCGGCAAACUCUGUGCCAGCAGCCGCAGUAAAAC